rnacentral:RNase_P_RNA from 1 species
GAAGCAGGCCAGACAAUCGCUGGUUGCCAUGUUUUGCAUGGUGACGGGAGGAAGGUCCGGACUCCAUAGAGCAGGGUGACGGCUAACGGCCGUACGUUGAAAGCCAAGGCGCAAGCUGAGGUAUAAGACGAGGAAUAGGGCCACAGAGACGAGCGUAUUUAGUUACGGUGAAACGCGGUAACCUCCACCCGGAGCAAUUUCAAAUAGGCACGCGUUGAGGCGGCUCGCGGAGCGUGCGGGUAGAAAGCUUGAGCCUGGG